rnacentral:rRNA from 1 species
AGCGAACGCUGGCGGCAGGCCUAAUACAUGCAAGUCGAGCGCGCCCUUCGGGGUGAGCGGCGGACGGGUGAGUAACGCGUGGGAAUAUGCCCUUCUCUAAGGAAUAGCCUCUGCAAACGGAGAGUAAUACCUUAUACGCCCUUUGGGGGAAAGAUUUAUCGGAGAAGGAUUAGCCCGCGUUAGAUUAGGUAGUUGGUGGGGUAAUGGCCUACCAAGCCUACGAUCUAUAGCUGGUUUGAGAGGAUGAUCAGCCACACUGGGACUGAGACACGGCCCAGACUCCUACGGGAGGCAGCAGUAGGGAAUCUUAGACAAUGGGGGCAACCCUGAUCUAGCCAUGCCGCGUGUGUGAUGAAGGCCCUAGGGUCGUAAAGCACUUUCGCCAGAGAUGAUAAUGACAGUAUCUGGUAAAGAAACCCCGGCUAACUCCGUGCCAGCAGCCGCGGUAAUACGGAGGGGGUUAGCGUUGUUCGGAAUUACUGGGCGUAAAGCGCACGUAGGCGGAUUAGUAAGUUAGAGGUGAAAUCCCAGGGCUCAACCCUGGAACUGCCUUUAAUACUGCUAGUCUUGAGUUCGAGAGAGGUAAGUGGAAUUCCGAGUGUAGAGGUAAAAUUCGUA